UUUAAGUCGUAUCUAAAUCAGUUUAGAGUGUAAUCUAAAUAUAUUCUAACUUAUUGUUUAUUAAGUGGGCUUUGUAUGUGAGCACAUUUUAAUCACAGAUUUUGCACUGGAUUUAUUGGCACAAAUCUCUAUAUCACAGAGCAAACGUUACUUCAUUCACUUAACUUACAUUCUAACUUGUUCCUCAACCUCAAAUACAGUUUUGUGUGUGUGUGAGAGAGAGAGAGAGAGAGAGAGAGAGAGAGUGUGUGUGUGUGUAUGUGUGUGUGGGUGUGAGAGAGAGAGAGAGGAAGAGGAGAGAGCAGUAGACAGAAUAUUUUUUAGUGUUUUGAAUGAAAAGUUGAAGGAUGUCCCAGGCUGAGAACAUAGAUAUGGUACACCUGCUUGUCAAGAUUCUAACGUUAAUGUCCCACUUCCAGGAACAUAAAGACGGACUGGUUUCACAUGCAGAUUUUGCAGCAUCUGCAUCUGAUAUUGAGAAGACACUCAAUCUACCUGCCAAUCCUCAUCUGAUUUUGCUGGGUUAGUGUGUCAUUACACAUGAUGAAGAGACAUUUACUGAUGUUUAAGAUAUAAAAUUGUAACAUUGCUGUUGUGCACGAUUGUUAAAAUUGCUUUUUUUUUUCUUUUUUUUUUGUGAGUGUCCAGUCAACACUUUUGACUGCAGUGAAUGUACUACUGUGUACUACAUCUUCAACCUGCAGUAUCAAGAGGCGGCUUGUUGCACGUAAGAAAGGUAAGUUUUUUUCAGUAUAUCAUCAUCUGAAACACUGUCAAAUGUGGUUUUAUUCGCAUGCCAGGCACGGAGAAAAUAGGAGAAAG